rnacentral:rRNA from 1 species
UGGCGGCGUGCUAAUACAUGCAAGUCGAACGAGGAAAACUUUCGGGUGAGUCUAGUGGCGCACGGGUGAGGAAUACAUGGGUAAUCUGCCUUCAAGUUUGGGAUAACAAGUCGAAAGAUUUGCUAAUACCGGAUAAGACCACAGGAACUGAGGUUCCANGGGUUAAAGGUUUUUCGCUUGAAGAUGAGCCCAUGUGGGAUUAGCUAGUUGGUGAGGUAAUGGCUCACCAAGGCUACGAUCCCUAACUGGUCUUAGAGGAUGAUCAGUCACACUGGAACUGAGACACGGUCCAGACUCCUACGGGAGGCAGCGGUAGGGAAUAUUGCGCAAUGGGGGAAACCCUGACGCAGCGACGCCGCGUGAGUGAUGAAGGCCUUCGGGUCGUAAAGCUCUGUCGUAUGGGACUAACAAAAUGAAGGUACCAUGCAAGAAAGGAUCGGCUAACUUCGUGCCAGCAGCCGCGGUAAGACGAGGGAUCCUAGCGUUGUUCGGAAUUAUUGGGCGUAAAGCGGGUGUAGGCGGACUUGUAAGUCAGGUGUGAAAUCCCAGGGCUCAACCCUGGAAGUGCACUUGAUACUGCAAGUCUUGAAUGUGGUAGAGGUUACUGGAAUUCCUGGUGUAGUGGUGAAUACG